rnacentral:tRNA from 2 species
CCUUCGAUAGCUCAGUUGGUAGAGCGGUGGACUGUAGCGAGUUUUAGAGGUCGAUCAACUGUUACAAUGCAUCGCAAAGUGCAUCUGACGAUCACCUGCAACCAAUAGAAAUCCAUAGGUCACUGGUUCAAAUCCGGUUCGAAGGA